ensembl:ncRNA lncRNA:CR43274 long non-coding RNA:CR43274
UCCAGUGUAACAUUUCGAUUAGCCUCCAAAACAGUGGGGGCAUCAGAGUGGCUUAUUUACCUGGUGUUCCAGCACUUCGGCACACAGUAUUUAUUGCCCUGUGCUGUAGUCAAAUAUUAUUCCACGCACUCGAACUCACGCACGACAGAGGGACAUUGCAGUGGUGGCCGGAUCGGUGGGAAAACGUGGCUUUGUUUGCAUAUUUUUUGGCUAGCACUUAACGCCGUGGCAGAAACGCAGAGCCGACCACAAUGCCCAGGUUCAACAUGCCAUCCCACCAAACUGCGGCUGAACAGUCCGACGUAUUCGCGAUCCCGGCCAGAGGCUUAUCCCGGGCUCUAUGGCUGUACGGCUCUCUGGUUCUGGGGUCAGUUGGACUGGCUCUUUAUGUACAUGCAUUUUUCCAUUUCCACAUUUAAAACGCCGCAUUUCCCUCUUUGGUUUCUGUUUUUUUUUUUGCAAAUUGUUAAUGCUUUUGUUUUUCCCAUUUCCAUCGCGACGAUGACGCGGCUCAGGUAG